UCACAACUGCUGCUGAUGGUCUUCCGACCCCGUGAUGAUGUCUGUUUUGUUCUCGUCUCUUUCAGGAAUAUUUCAACGCAAGUGUUUCUUUGUCUUCUCUGAAUCCAUCUUCUCCUGGACCCUCACUGCCAGCUGCUUGCGUCCACGUGAUUGAACCAUAUGAAUCAGCUAUGCGGUUGGCAGCCGACCUAUCUGAAGGCUUGGCCACCUCAGUCAAAUAUACUUUCUCCUACCCCGCCCACUCAAUUCCUGCCCCACUCUCUGGUGCCCCUGAGAAUGCUCCAUCUCAUCCUCCUGCCAGGCUACUUCCUUCUCCUCACCUCCUUCUGGAAGCCUUCCCCAACUCCGGUGGCCUGUCCUAUUUCUAGACCUGACAACUCCCUGGAGCAUAGCUUGUUGGUUAACAAGCUUCUCUUCUACUUACUUAUCCGUAUGUACGUAAGCAUGGGAGGUCUGUGAAGGCAGGAAGCGUUCUUUUCCUACCUCUUCAUCGUAUCCCCAACAUCCAGCAAGGAAGGGUAUAGGCCUUGGUGAUGUCUGAGGGAUUCAGCAGGAUGGAGGCAGAUCUGAGAACUUCUGAUCAAAAAGUGAUUUCCAUAGAUCAUCAAAGAUGAUGUCUAGAUUUGCUCAAUACUGCAAGGCCUCUCAGGAUUUAUUAGCCACUGUCUCCCACAUUUAUUAGCCAAGGGGCCAGGACUGAGCCUUGGCAUAGAUGAAAUGAUCUGUUUUCUCCUCCCUUGGAGAACCUCUGACUCCAGCUGUGUUGAAUAAACUGGGUGCAAAAGUCCCACUAUCAGAGUUACACUUAACUCUGUGGCCCACCACAGACCCCAGCCCAGAGGUGAGCCCCAGUUAGAGGGAGAGGAAUCUGACAAUGACUCAUAGCCUGGUUCUUGCCCCCGUUUUGCAACUGACUUGCUGUGUGACCUUGGAAGAGUUAGUCUGCCUUUCUGGGUCUUCUUGUUUUCAUCUGUACAAACAAGGGUAGUGGCCUAGAGGAUUGCUACAGUGCUUUCCAGCUCUGAACCUUUGAUUCUCUGACUCAAAGGCAAGGAUUUCUACUGCUUCUUGAAUAAAUAUAUUCCUCUCCUGACAGCCAGCCUGGGGAAAUUGAUAAUUCUGUCAGAGCACCCUUGCAGUAAACCUAGAGCCCUGCAGUGUCCCCCAAGACUGGAAACUUUAUUUUUAUUCAUUGCUCAUCCUCAUUCCCCCUCUCCCUGGCCCUCCCUCCAGCCCCGCUUCACCACCCCACCCCCAAUCCAGGACACAGCAACCUGCCAUGAAUGAAGAGUGGUUGGUCACAUGUCCCGGUCACCAUGGCGACGGAUCCCCGCAGACGAGAUGAGGACAAGGACUCUCACAGGCAGCGUGAGAACCCGGAUCGUCCAUUCUAAAGUCCCUGCUCUUCCCAUGGUGCCCUGCCAUGGAGUGUGGCAGAGAGUGUGCCCAAAAGGAGGAGGCAGGACGGAAGGCUGACGCUGAGGACAGAACCGCACGAAGGCAGUCUAGAGGAGCAGGGAGAAAUGCAUUUUGAUCCUUUCAUGAGCAGGAGCUCUUUCUUUAACGACCACUCAAUGAAUAUUUCUGAACACCUGCUAUGUGUCAAGACUGUUCCAGGUGCUGGUGACACGGCUUUCAUCUAGUUCGCUUUCAUCUUCAAACAGAUGAACAGGAAAGUGAGUGGAAUGCCAGAUGGUGAUACGUGAUUUCAAGAGCAAUAAGCAGGAUGGGGCAAAGGGAAAACCAGUGACGAUGUCAUAUUUAGAGACGUCUCACCACCCAUUUCACCCAACGUGAUAACGGUUUUAUCUGUGUUUUCUUUUUCCAUAGUAUUUAUAUGAUUUUAUUAAAAAUAAUUGUGCUUUGCAAAAAAAAACACAAAUUUUUUGACACAUAAUAAUUGUACAUAUUUCUGAGGCACACAGUGAUGUUGUAAUACAUAUAACGUAGAGUGAUCAGAUCAGAGUAAUUAGGAUAUCCAUGAUCUUAAACACUAUUUCUUUGCGUUGGGAACAUUCAAUAUCUUUCUUCUAGCGAUUUGAAAUCAUAUAAUAUAUUAUCGUUAACUAUAGCUAGAGUUUACUAUAGUACUAGAGAUACUAGAGCUUAUUUCUCCUACCUAGCUCCUAUUCCUGCCUUCUCUCUACCCUUCCCAGCCUCUGUUACCCUCUUUUGCAAAGAACAAACUUCUGACUCGGGUCAUCCUUUCUAUUGUAUGUUUGCUUUGCUAUUUCAUUAAUUUCCGCAUUGUCUUGAUCAUUUCCCUCCUUUUCCUUUGAGUCUAUUUUGUAGUUCUUUCCCUGCGUUUUUGAGAUGGUCGCUUGGUUCAUUGAUUUCAAACUUUCUUCUUUUCUGUUUAAAGCUAUAAAUAUUCUUCUAUGUACUGCUUUUGAUGCAUUCCUGUGGCUUAAUUUUUUUCAUUUAUCAAUAUUGAUACAUCUACAAUUUAUUUUGGUGUGAAGAGUAAGGUAAGGAGUCAAAUUUACUUUUUUUCAGAUAACCCAGUCAAUAUCACUGAUUAAAGAUCCAUCUUUUAUUGGGUGGGCGCUGUGGGUGGCUCAUGCUUAUAAUCCCAGCACUUUGGGAGGCUGAGGCAGGCAGAUCACGAGGUCAGGAGAUCGAGACCAUCCUGGCCAACAUGGUGAAACCCUGUCUCUUAGUUGGGCAUGCUAGUGCAUGCCUGUAGUCCCAGCUACUCAGGAGGCUGAGGUAGGGGAAAUCACUUGAACCCAGGAGGCGGAGGUUGCAGUGAGCUGAGAUCACACCACUGUACUCCAGCCUCGAGUACUCCAUCUCAAAAAAUAAUAAUAAUAAAAAUUAGAAUCCAUCUUUCCUCUGCUCAUUUAAAAUAUAACCUUUAUCAUAUUCUAAGCGACUGUGUCUGAAUUUAUUUCUGGACUGUGUCUUCUGCCUCAUUGUAUUGCUCGUGACUGAGUCCACACUAAUUUAUUUAUUUUUGUUUGUUUAUUUAUUUUUGAGAUGGGAUCUCACUCUGUCACCCAGGUUGGAGUGCAAUGGUGCCAUCUCUGAGUCCACACUAGUUUAAACUUGUAGCUUUGUAAUAUGCUUCACCCUCUGGUAGGCUAAUUCCUCACCUGACACCCAGUAAUUCUCCCUUUCCUAAUUCCCCUGCGUCUUCAUUGUUUCUUUUUCUGCAUGAGUGUUUGCUUAACUAGCUCGUCUAGUUAAAAAGAAGAAAAGCUUUUGUUAUUUUCACUGGGGUCAUUUUAGAAUUACGGAUUAGUUCUAAGUUCACAUGCUUCCUAUGUUUUGUCUCCCACUCUGAGAACACGGCAUUCCUUUUUCUAUGUUCACACCUUCUUUUGGAUCUCUGAGCAGCAUUUGGAAGCUUUCUUCACAUAGAUUUUCUACACGUCUUUGAAAGUUUAUUACUAAGUAUUUUUCUUCUUCGUUGUUCUUGCUAUUGUAACGGAAGCAUUUUUUCUUAUAUCUUAUUUGCUCUUGUGUAUCCGAAGGUAUAGAUAUUUAAUACGUUAAUUCUGUAUCCAACCAUGUUACUAAAUGAUCUUGUACAAGUUUUUUAGUUGUAAAUUAUUUUUUGUUUUUAUUUUUAUUUUUGAGACAGAGUCUCAAUCUGUGGCCCAGGCUGGAGUGCAGUGGUGCGAUCUUGGCUCAUGGCAGUUCCAUCUCUAGGGUUCAAGCAAUUCUUGUGCCUCAGCCUGAAUAGCUGGGAUUACAGGCCGCACCUCCACACCUGGCUAAUUGAUGUAUUUUUAGUGGAGACGGGGUUUCACCAUGUUGGCCAGAUUGGUCUUGAACUCCUGACCUCAGGUGAUCUGCCCACCUCGGCCUCCCAAAGUGCUGGGAUUGUAGGCAUUAGCCAUCGCACAGGCCAGUUGUAAAUUAUUUUUUAAAUGAAGCUUUCAGCCUUUAAGGGAAGAAUGCACAUUAUAAUUAAAACCUCCAGGGUAAAUGGCUGUUUAAGGAUUCAAUGAACUAAUAAAUGUAAGUUGCUUAGAGUACUACUCUAAGUCUUAGAGCACAUCUUAUGAGCUAUCACAAAUAACAAUAGUGAUAAU